AGCCAAGUUUUUAAGGGCACACGGUGGAUGCCUUGGCACCAGGAACCGAAGAAGGACGUAGGAAUCUGCGAUAAGCCUCGGGGAGUCGAUAACCAGACUGUGAUCCGAGGAUUUCCGAAUGGGGAAACCCGGCUGGAGGCAAGUCCAGUCACCCUCGCCUGAACACAUAGGGCGAGUGGAGGGAACGUGGGGAAGUGAAACAUCUCAGUACCCACAGGAAGAGAAAGCAACCGCGAUUCCGUGAGUAGUGGCGAGCGAAAGCGGAUCAGGCUAAACCGAGCAUGUGUGAUAGCUGUCAGGCGUUGCAUGUUCGGGGUCGUGGGACUUUUCAGCCGGCUCUGACAGGCCAGCAUGGAGUCAAAAAUUUGCGUCAUAGUCGAAGGGCAUUGAAAGGCCCGGCACAGAGGGUGCGACCCCCGUAGACGAAAUGGCGUGAACUCCAGAGAAGUAUCCCAAGUAGCACGGGGCCCGAGAAAUCCCGUGUGAAUCUGGCGGGACCACCCGCUAAGCCUAAAUAUUCCCUGGUGACCGAUAGCGGACAAGUACCGUGAGGGAAAGGUGAAAAGUACCCCGGGAGGGGAGUGAAAUAGAUCCUGAAACCGUGUGCCUACAAUCCGUUGGAGCCUCCUUGUGGGGUGACAGCGUGCCUUUUGAAGAAUGAGCCUGCGAGUUAGUGCUCAGUGGCGAGGUUAACCCGUGAGGGGAAGCCGUAGCGAAAGCGAGUCCGAAUAGGGCGAAUGAGUCGCUGGGUCUAGACCCGAAGCGGAGUGAUCUACCCAUGGCCAGGUUGAAGCGCAGGUAAGACUGCGUGGAGGACCGAACCCACUUAGGUUGAAAACUGAGGGGAUGAGCUGUGGGUAGGGGUGAAAGGCCAAUCAAACUCCGUGAUAGCUGGUUCUCCCCGAAAUGCAUUUAGGUGCAGCGUCACGUGUUUCUUACCGGAGGUAGAGCUACUGGAUAGCUAAUGGGCCUCACCAGGUUACUGACGUUAGCCAAACUCCGAAUGCCGGUAAGUGAGAGCGUGGCAGUGAGACUGCGGGGGAUAAGCUCCGUAGUCGAGCGGGAAACAGCCCAGACCACCAUCUAAGGUCCCUAAGCGUGUGCUAAGUGGGAAAGGAUGUGGAGUUGCAUUGACAACCAGGAGGUUGGCUUAGAAGCAGCCACCCUUUAAAGAGUGCGUAAUAGCUCACUGGUCAAGUGAUUCCGCGCCGACAAUGUAGCGGGGCUCAAGCACACCACCGAAGCUGUGGCAUUGACACUUUGCCCGGCCGUAUUUCCUGCGGGUUUACGGUCCAAGCGUGUUGAUGGGUAGGGGAGCGUCGUGUGGCCAGGGAAGCGGCGGAGUGAUCCAGCCGUGGAGGCCACACGAGUGAGAAUGCAGGCAUGAGUAGCGAAUGACGGGCGAGAAACCCGUCCGCCGAAUAACCAAGGGUUCCAGGGUCAAGCUAAUCUGCCCUGGGUAAGUCGGGACCUAAGGCGAGGCCGACAGGCGUAGUCGAUGGACAUCCGGUUGAUAUUCCGGAACCGGCGAAGAACCGCCCAUACCGAACCUAGUGAUGCUAAGCGCCUGAAGCUCGUUGCGGUCUUCGGACCAACAUGAGUGGAGCGCGCGACCCUAGUUAGUAGUAGGUAAGCAAUGGGGAGACGCAGGAAGGUAGCCUCCGCGUGGCGAUGGUAGUCCACGUCCAAGGGUGUAGGGCGAGAUGUAGGCAAAUCCGCAUCUCACGUAGCCUGAGACCUGAUAGUGACCGCGAAUGCGGGAAGCAGGGUGAUCCUAUGCUGCCAAGAAAAUCCUCUAGCGAGGUUCGAGCCGCCCGUACCCCAAACCGACUCAGGUGGUUAGGUAGAGAAUACCAAGGCGAUCGAGUGAAUCGUGGUUAAGGAAUUCGGCAAAAUACCCCCGUAACUUCGGGAGAAGGGGGGCCCAGAGGGUGAAGG
rnacentral:rRNA from 1 species